rnacentral:tRNA from 1 species
AGGGUAUAGCUCAGUGGUAGAACGUAUGUUUAGCAUGCAUAAAGUCCUGGGUUCAAACCCAGUACCUCUA